UCUUCUAUCUUGUAAACAUGU
rnacentral:piRNA from 1 species